UUCAUAUUCUCUCCGUCCAUAGAAAAAAAUCUCAAAUUUGUUAAAAUUUGGAUGUAUUUAGACAUGACUUAGUGUUUAGAUGCAUUCAAAUUUAGUCCAAAUUAAAACAUCUUUUGUUGGGCGGAGGGAAUAACAA
rnacentral:pre_miRNA from 1 species